ACCCAGGAGAUAUUUUACAAGGCUUAUGGCCAUUUACUUCCUCAUCUCCUUCCCCUCUCUGUUCUAUAAAAAAAAUUAGCAUCCAGACCCCAAUGAGAUGGUACUCUAGAACAUUACUUCAUUAUUUUAUUGGAUGCCUGGCUUUCUGAAAAAGUUGCUGUUUGCUUCAACACAUCUCCCAAUUAUUGGCCUCUCAUGCAGCAAGCAGAUGGAGUUUGGAUUUGGUAAAACUGUAAUGAAUGACAGAAAGCAGAGAAGUGAUUACCUAAGGUUAAGGACAAGUGUUGGAUUGUCCACAAAGAAGCAAGAAGGAACUUUUAAAGGACCAAGUGACCCUCAGGCAAAUGCUCAGUUCUACCUGGACCAACGAGGGAGGAAGCCAUUACUCAAAAAACAGGAACACCAGGAGUCCAGCAGCACUUUGGUCAAAUGGAGAUGCCAGCUUUUCUGUCUGGAUUCUAUCAGGAUUUAUGCUGUGGCCAUUUCAAGGAGACUUGUAAAUAGUUAUAAGCGGUGCAAAUUAUAGAAGUGACUCAUGGACACUUAGAUUAUUUAAUUUGAUUGCUGCCCUCAAAGAUGCCUUGCUGACUGAAGUGUAAUAGCGAUAGGUAAAGAGUGUCUGAGGAGGUUCCUUGACUUUGUCUGCCUGGCUAUUGAUAUGCAUAAAACAACAAGGAAUAAAAGAAAGACUGGGAAAAAAAACAAACAAACAAACCCUGAAGCCUUCCAUACAGCGGUUCCCUGCCUUCGAGUCACAGUCUAAAUGAAACUUUUCAAAUUCCUCUCUCCCAGUUCAGCCUGUUCCCAUCAAUCAGUGGCUGUGGACGAUGGGGCCCUUUACAGGUCAGUCCAUUUAUCCUUGAGACUGCCGACAGGACUUUGCCCUGAAAAAUUCUCAGACAGAUGGGCGACUGUCCUCCUUUUCAGAGCUUUCCUGAGAAAUAAAUCAUCAGCAUUCUCAGUAACCCACGUUGGUGCGGAGCGUCUGGUAAGAAAGUAUCAAAUUAGCAUAGCCUUCAAAGGGAGAGGAGUCAGGAGUCCAGCUCUGUGUUUGGUAACAUGAAUCAUGCAUCUUAGAAUAAAGGAGGCAUGGAAAUCAAACACUUAAUGUGUCAGAAAUAACUGGCUCAACUCAUCACCCUGUGAC
ensembl:lncRNA